UUUAUUGGAGAGUUUGAUCCUGGCUCAGGAUGAACGCUGGCGGCGUGCCUAAUACAUGCAAGUCGAGCGAAUGGAUUGAGAGCUUGCUCUCAAGAAGUUAGCGGCGGACGGGUGAGUAACACGUGGGUAACCUGCCCAUAAGACUGGGAUAACUCCGGGAAACCGGGGCUAAUACCGGAUAACAUUUUGAACUGCAUGGUUCGAAAUUGAAAGGCGGCUUCGGCUGUCACUUAUGGAUGGACCCGCGUCGCAUUAGCUAGUUGGUGAGGUAACGGCUCACCAAGGCAACGAUGCGUAGCCGACCUGAGAGGGUGAUCGGCCACACUGGGACUGAGACACGGCCCAGACUCCUACGGGAGGCAGCAGUAGGGAAUCUUCCGCAAUGGACGAAAGUCUGACGGAGCAACGCCGCGUGAGUGAUGAAGGCUUUCGGGUCGUAAAACUCUGUUGUUAGGGAAGAACAAGUGCUAGUUGAAUAAGCUGGCACCUUGAC
rnacentral:rRNA from 1 species